ensembl:lncRNA
AGCUGCUGAUGGGGUCUUUGAGGAGUCUCUAUGAACAGAAACAGAGGAGUCAUCAACACACAGAUAACAGACCGGUACCAGAGGCUCCAGCCCCAGUAGAGGUCCAGUCCAGUAGCAGACAGAGAUUAGAGCAGUUUAAAACCAGAGCUAAACGCUCCCUCACAGAGUCACUGGAGGGCAUCUGGAAGGUAGGGGGAAGUGGUCUGGAAGGUAGGGGGAUGUGGUCUGGAAGGUAGGGGGAUGUGGUCUGGAAGGUAGGGGGAAGUGGUCUGGAAGGUAGGGGGAAGUGGUCUGGAAGGUAGGGGGAAGUGGUCUGGAAGGUAGGGGGAUGUGGUCUGGAAGGUAGGGGGAUGUGGUCUGGAAGGUAGGGGGAAGUGGUCUGGAAGGUAGGGGAAAGUGGUCUGGAAGGUAGGGGGAAGUGGUCUGGAAGGUAGGGGGAAGUGGUCUGGAAGGUAGGGGGAUGUGGUCUGGAAGGUAGGGGGAUGUGGUCUGGAAGGUAGGGGGAUGUGGUCUGGAAGGUAGGGGGAGUGGUCUGGAAGGUAGGGGGAAGUGGUCUGGAAGGUAGGGGGAAGUGGUCUGGAAGGUAGGGGGAUGUGGUCUGGAAGGUAGGGGGAUGUGGUCUGGAAGGUAGGGGGAAGUGGUCUGUAGGGGGAAGUGGUCUGGAAGGUAGGGGGAAGUGGUCUGGAAGGUAGGGGGAUGUGGUCUGCAGGGGGAAGUGGUCUGGAAGGUAGGGGGAAGUGGUCUGUAGGGGGAAGUGGUCUGGAAGGUAGGGGGAAGUGGUCUGGAAGGUAGGGGGAAGUGGUCUGGAAGGUAGGGGGAUGUGGUCUGGAAGGUAGGGGGAUGUGGUCUGGAAGGUAGGGGGAGUGGUCUGGAAGGUAGGGGGAAGUGGUCUGGAAGGUAGGGGGAAGUGGUCUGGAAGGUAGGGGGAAGUGGUCUGGAAGGUAGGGGGAAGUGGUCUGGAAGGUAGGGGGAAGUGGUCUGGAAGGUAGGGGGAAGUGGUCUGGAAGGUAGGGGGAAGUGGUCUGGAAGGUAGGGGGAUGUGGUCUGGAAGGUAGGGGGAUGUGGUCUGGAAGGUAGGGGGAUGUGGUCUGGAAGGUAGGGGGAUGUGGUCUGGAAGGUAGGGGGAUGUGGUCUGGAAGGUAGGGGGAAGUGGUCUGGAAGGUAGGGGGAAGUGGUCUGGAAGGUAGGGGGAUGUGGUCUGUAGGGGGAAGUGGUCUGGAAGGUAGGGGGAUGUGGUCUGCAGGGGGAAGUGGUCUGGAAGGUAGGGGGAAGUGGUCUGUAGGGGGAAGUGGUCUGGAAGGUAGGGGGAAGUGGUCUGGAAGGUAGGGGGAAGUGGUCUGGAAGGUUUUGGGAAGUGGUCUGGAAGGUAGGGGGAAGUGGUCUAGAAGGUAGGGGGAAGUGGUCUGGAAGGUAGGGGGAAGUGGUCUGGAAGGUAGGGGGAAGUGGUCUGGAAGGUAGGGGGAAGUGGUCUGGAAGGUAGGGGGAAGUGGUCUGGAAGGUAGGGGGAAGUGGUUUGGAAGGUAGGGGGAUGUGGUCUGGAAGGUAGGGGGAUGUGGUCUGGAAGGUAGGGGGAUGUGGUCUGGAAGGUAGGGGGAAGUGGUCUGUAGGGGGAAGUGGUCUGGAAGGUAGGGGGAUGUGGUCUGUAGGGGAAGUGGUCUGGAAGGUAGGGGGAUGUGGUCUGCAGGGGGAAGUGGUCUGGAAGGUAGGGGGAAGUGGUCUGUAGGGGGAAGUGGUCUGGAAGGUAGGGGGAUGUGGUCUGGAAGGUAGGGGGGAGUGGUCUGGAAGGUAGGGGGAAGUGGUCUGGAAGGUAGGGGGAAGUGGUCUGGAAGGUAGGGGGAAGUGGUCUGGAAGGUAGGGGGAUGUGGUCUGGAAGGUAGGGGGAUGUGGUCUGGAAGGUAGGGGGAAGUGGUCUGGAAGGUAGGGGGAAGUGGUCUGGAAGGUAGGGGGAUGUGGUCUGUAGGGGGAAGUGGUCUGGAAGGUAGGGGGAAGUGGUCUGGAAGGUAGGGGGAAGUGGUCUGGAAGGUAGGGGGAUGUGGUCUGGAAGGUAGGGGGAUGUGGUCUGGAAGGUAGGGGGAUGUGGUCUGGAAGGUAGGGGGGAGUGGUCUGGAAGGUAGGGGGAGUGGUCUGGAAGGUAGGGGGAAGUGGUCUGGAAGGUAGGGGGAAGUGGUCUGGAAGGUAGGGGGAAGUGGUCUGGAAGGUAGGGGGAAGUGGUCUGGAAGGUAGGGGGAUGUGGUCUGGAAGGUAGGGGGAUGUGGUCUGGAAGGUAGGGGGAUGUGGUCUGGAAGGUAGGGGGAUGUGGUCUGGAAGGUAGGGGGAAGUGGUCUGGAAGGUAGGGGGAUGUGGUCUGGAAGGUAGGGGGAUGUGGUCUGUAGGGGGAAGUGGUCUGGAAGGUAGGGGGAUGUGGUCUGCAGGGGGAAGUGGUCUGGAAGGUAGGGGGAAGUGGUCUGUAGGGGAAGUGGUCUGGAAGGUAGGGGGAAGUGGUCUGGAAGGUAGGGGGAAGUGGUCUGGAAGGUUUGGGAAGUGGUCUGGAAGGUAGGGGGAAGUGGUCUAGAAGGUAGGGGGAAGUGGUCUGGAAGGUAGGGGGAAGUGGUCUGGAAGGUAGGGGGAAGUGGUCUGGAAGGUAGGGGGAAGUGGUCUGGAAGGUAGGGGGAAGUGGUCUGGAAGGUAGGGGGAAGUGGUCUGGAAGGUAGGGGGAAGUGGUCUGGAAGGUAGGGGGAAGUGGUCUGGAAGGUAGGGGGAUGUGGUCUGGAAGGUAGGGGGAUGUGGUCUGGAAGGUAGGGGGAUGUGGUCUGGAAGGUAGGGGGAUGUGGUCUGGAAGGUAGGGGGAUGUGGUCUGUAGGGGGAAGUGGUCUGGAAGGUAGGGGGAUGUGGUCUGCAGGGGGAAGUGGUCUGGAAGGUAGGGGGAAGUGGUCUGUAGGGGGAAGUGGUCUGGAAGGUAGGGGGAAGUGGUCUGGGAGGUAGGGGGAAGUGGUCUAGAAGGUAGGGGGAAGUGGUCUGGAAGGUAGGGGGAAGUGGUCUGGAAGGUAGGGGGAAGUGGUCUGGAAGGUAGGGGGAAGUGGUCUGGAAGGUAGGGGGAAGUGGUCUGGAAGGUAGGGGGAAGUGGUCUGGAAGGUAGGGGGAAGUGGUCUGGAAGGUAGGGGGAAGUGGUCUGGAAGGUAGGGGGAUGUGGUCUGGAAGGUAGGGGGAAGUGGUCUGGAAGGUAGGGGGAAGUGGUCUGUAGGGGGAAGUGGUCUGGAAGGUAGGGGGAUGUGGUCUGUAGGGGGAAGUGGUCUGGAAGGUAGGGGGAUGUGGUCUGCAGGGGGAAGUGGUCUGGAAGGUAGGGGGAAGUGGUCUGUAGGGGGAAGUGGUCUGGAAGGUAGGGGGAAGUGGUCUGGAAGGUAGGGGGAAGUGGUCUGGAAGGUAGGGGGAAGUGGUCUGGAAGGUAGGGGGAAGUGGUCUAGAAGGUAGGGGGAAGUGGUCUGGAAGGUAGGGGGAAGUGGUCUGGAAGGUAGGGGGAAGUGGUCUGGAAGGUAGGGGGAAGUGGUCUGGAAGGUAGGGGGAAGUGGUCUGAAAGGUAAGGGGAAGUGGUCUGGAAGGUAGGGGGAAGUAGUCUGGAAGGUAGGGGGAAGUGGUCUGGAAGGUAGGGGGAAGUGGUCUGGAAGGUAGGGGGAAGUGUAUGCGCGUCUGUUUUAACGUGUGUGUGAGAACCUGUGUGUGUGUUAA